rnacentral:rRNA from 1 species
CCUGGUUGAUCCUACCAGUAGUCAUAUGUUUGUCUCAAAGAUUAAGCCGUGCAUGUGUAAACAUGAACUAAUUCAAACUGUGAAACUAUGCAUGGCUCAUUAAGUUACUUGUAGUUUGUUUGAUUGUAUCUACUACUCGAAUAACCAUAGUAAUUCUAGAGCUAGUGCAUACAACAAAGCCUAACUUCUAGAAGUGAUACAUUUAUAUGAUAAAAGGUUGACAUGGGCUUUGCACAUUGCUCUGAUGAUUCAUGAUAACUUAACGGAUCGCAUAGCCUUUGUGCCAUUGAUGCAUCAUUUAAAUUUCUGCCCUAUUAACUUUCAAUGGUAGGAUAGUGGCCUAUUAUGGUGGUGACAGAUAAAAGAGAAUUAGGGUUCAAUUCUAGAGAGAGCCUGAGAAAUGAUGAUGACAUCUAAAAAAGGUAGUGGGUGUACAAAUUACCCAAUCUUGACACAAGGAGGUAAUGACAAUAAAUAACAAUAUUGGGCUCUAUAAGUUUGGUAAUUGGAAUGAGUACAAUCUAAAUCCCUUAAUAAGGAUCCAUUGGAGGGCAACUCUAGUGUCAGCAACUAUGGUAAUUCUAACUCCAAUAACAUAUAUUUAAGAUGUUGCAAUUAAAAAGCUUAUAGUUAGAACUAAGGUUAGGUCAUCCGAUCCACCUCAUGGUGAGCAUUGAUCUACUCGUCCCCAUUAUCGGUGAUGUGCUCCUGGCCUUAACUGGUCAGGUUAUUCCUCUAGUGCUAUUACUUUAAAGAAAUUAGAGUGUUUAAAAUAGGCCCACACUUUUAUAAAUUAGCAUGAGAUGACAUCAUAAGAUUUCAGUCUUAUUGUGUUAUCCUUCAAGAUUGGAUAAAUGAUUAACAAUGAUAGUGUGGGGCAUUCGCAUUUCAUAGUAAGAGGUGAAAUUUUUAGAUUUAUGAAAGAUGAACAACUGCAAAAGCAUUUGCCAAGGAUGUUUUCAUUAAUCAAGAAUGAAAGUUGAGGACUCGAAGAUAAUUAGAUACCGUCCUAAUCUCAACCAUAAACAAUGCCGACUAGGGAUUGACGAAUGUUACUUUUAGGGCUCCGUUGGCAGGUUAUGAGAAAUCAAAGUCUUUGGGUUCUAAGGGGCAUAUCAUUACAAGAUUGAAACUUAAAGGAAUUGACAAAAAAGCACCACCAGAAGUGUAGCCUGUGGCUUGAUUUGACUUAACACAGGGAAGCUGACUAGGUCCAAACAUAGUAAGGAUUGACAGAUUAAGAGCUCUUUCUUGAUUCUAUGGGUGGAGUGCAUGGCCAUUCUUAGUUGGUAGAGCAAUUUGUCUAGUAAAUUCCAUUAAUGAAUGAAACCUCAACUUGCUAACUAGCUACACCAAGGUGAUCCUUCAUGGCUAGCUUCUUAGAGGGGCUACAACCGCUUAGGCCAAGGAAGUUUGAGGUAGUAACAGGUUUGUGAUGCCCUUAGAUAUUAUGGGCUACACAUGUGCUACAUUAAUGUAUUCAACAAGUCUAUAGCCUUGGUCGAUAGGCCUAUGUAAUCAUUGAAACUUUAUCAUGAUAGGGAUAGAUCAUUGCAAUUGUUGGUCUUCAAUAAGGAAUUCCUAUUAAGCAUGAGCCAUCAACUCACGUUGACUACAUCUUGGCCCUUUAUACACAUCACCUGUUAUGCCUACCAAUUAAAUGGUUUGGUGAAGUGUUUGAAUCACAGUCACAUGGAUGGUUCAUUGCCUGCAACAUCAUGAGAAGUCCACUAAACCUUAUCAUUUAGAGGAAUGAGAAGUCGUAACAAGGUUUUCAUAGGUGAACCUAUGGAAG